UUCCACUCUUAUUUCUAGGUUUUUGCGCCCACAUCCUCCAGCGAGAGAAAAAAUCAUGGCCUCUAUCUCCUCCUACUAGAUGGAUCUCCAGCUCCCGGAUGGAAUUCCUCACAGGCCCAAAGAGGAAUCGGAUGAAACCCCAAAUGAUGUCUCAUCCUCUUGCAUUUCCAGUGGCAACGGAAGCGUUUGCCACUCUUUCCAGCGAAUGAGUGUGCCCAAAACACCAUGGGUUUCGUUUGUAAGAGUUCUUAAAGUGCUUAAGGAGAAGCUAUCGUUCCAGGAUUUUAUUUAUCUGGUGGAGCAGUACACAGUCUUUAAGCAAGGGAAGAUUUCUCGUGACACACUCGUGCGUGUUUUCAAAGACAUUGUAGGCGAGCAAACGCUGAAAGAGAUGGUCAUUAGCAUGCAACCGGAGGUGUUGCAGGCUCAAAAGAGCCUCUUACGAUCCGUCAAGUCUUUUGCAAAGCACACCCGCGGUAUGUGUAAGCCUUUCUCUCGAUCCAGCUUACUUGACUGCUUGAUGCAAGUAUCGACAAUAUGGCGUUGAAUCCAAAAGGACUUGAUCCAAAAGCCACUCUCGACACCAUUGAACUGGAUGUCGAGGUGGAGAGGGAUUCUCAUCCGAGGCUUUUGCUUACAUUACCAAGUUUCUUUUGGCGAUGAAGGCAAGCUCGCAUUGUCUAGCCAUUUGAAGGAGGUGUGAAGUCAAAAGGUUUUGUGAAAGAGGAGGGGUUUCCAGUUUCCUGUGGAGUGAUGAUGAGACAGCCUUUCUCGUGAUGGAGGUGACAAAUGCAGUCUGGAACCUGAACUUGAGACAAGCAGUGACACCACAAAGCAGAGCAAUUUGUCGAUAAUGCUGAAAACCAAGAAGGCCUGAGUUCCUAAGUGUGUUAUUCUGUACACAAAGUAGAGUUACGACAGGAGCUGGAAAUGAAGCUCAAUAUGUUGUUAAGCUUUCCUUCAAACUUGGAAUGCAUUUUAGUUUCUUCCAUGAUCAAA